CGCUUGCGGCCAUCUCUUCACUUCCUAUUGCUCCACUCGCCCACCUCUCUAUAAAUCCCACCUAAACCUUCCCCAUCACAGAACACACUCCUCCACCACUCCAGCCCCCAGGCUGCCCCUCUUGAGGGCGAAAUUUCUUCACCGGAGCACGACGACCACCACAACGCUCUUGUUGUUUUCUGCGGCCGGAGAUACCCCACGAUGAGCACCCGAUGCCAUCGCCACUGUACCUGUCCGCCACCAUCUCGAUGAGCUUCUCCAAGGAUUCCAGAGAACAUCAUCGUCUUCGUCGUGCAAGGAUCACCUUCCUUUACCGCAUAGGCCCUGGUGACCCCACGUAGUCGAGGUCGUUCUCCGCAGCCACGCACAACCUCUACGACUGGCGAAGUCUCGUUGUAUUCUUUCCUUUUCGUUGCGAUAGAUUCACGAAGAGUGACGGGAUGAAUUAUCAAGGAAUUAAUAUUGGUAGCUAUGUUGACAAGAUAAUUAUUCUUCACCAAUGAAAGGCAAGUUACACAUGACCUUUUGUCCUACUAUUUUUAAUAUGCAUGUUUUACAAAUAUUUUCGUAGAAAUGCAUGUGUAGGAAAAUUAUGCUUUGCUAUCCUAGUAGAGAGCCAUAGGAUUUCUUACCAUGUUCCUUGUAGCCCUUUUAUUAAAAUGCGUAUAUUGUAUGAGUGCUUAGCCAGUUGCUUGGUAGACGUGGGAUAUGGGUUUUCAAAGAACAAAACCUUUUAUGAAAAUUGACAAGCGCCCAUUCUGGGGUGGUAUGGUGAAAAUAUUUUUGAAAUAAAAACUUAGCAAAAUGUUUUCCUCUGGGCGGAGUGGUAUGUUGGGAGCGUCUACAAGAGCUGCAUCCAGUGAGUGGCUCUGCAGACUCAGGUUUUGGUGGGGACCGCCGCCCAGGGUCAAAGAGAUCUUCAAAGUUUCAGUUAAAGAAGCUUCCAGUACAGCCACAUGCUAUAUGGGCUCUGGCUUAGUCGUACAUAGAGGGAAACCCUUGCAUCGGUACCGCCAUUGGAGAGGGGUCUUCGGAUCAUAGUUGCGGGCGGACUGGGAUUAUGUAUAGGGGGCUUCUAUGGAAAACUUCGUCAUGAUCCAUACCCGGUUAAGCCAAAUGAAGGAUACAACAAAAAGGAUGGAUUGUGACAUGUGGGGAAAGUGUACAACCUCUGCAGAGUGUAUCAUCUAAUCGAUUAGCCGUGCUCCCGGAUAUGAGCAAUUUGAGCAACUGAAGAUUGAAGCGGAUGAAGGAUCUCCUAUGUUUUCAAAACCUUUUCAAAAAUUGUUUUGGCAUGCUAAGUUUAUCCAGUGAGUGGCUCUGAACUUAGGAUUGCCCGAACUGUUUUGCAAUUACUACUUUCAUCCAGCG